CGCCGCUCACCCCGCGGCCGCACCUUCCCGCCUUCUCAGGCUCCAGGGGAGAAGCACAGUCCAUUCCGUGCUGCUGCCACAGAACACCACACACUGGGUGAUUUAUGAAGAACAAAUUGAUUUCGGCACAGUUCUGGGAGCUGGGACAUUCAAGGUCACCACGUUGCCACCUGUGAAGGCCUUCUGCUGCAUCCUCAUGUUGGGGAAGAUCAGAAGUGAGAACACAUGCUGGCCAGUCCUUUCACAGCAGCAUCAAUCCGUGCAUGGGGCAGGGCCCUCGGCCUGAGCGCCUCCCCCAGGCCCUAACUCCCAGCACUGCCCUGCUGGGGAUGGAAUUUCCAACAUGAAUCUGGGGGAUGCUUUCGGACCACAGCCGGGGAGCCUGCCCUGGCUUCCAGCUGCUGGUGGCCCAGGGGCUCCCUGGCUUGCCUCGAGGCUGCCUCCCUCCAGCCUCCAGUCCGUCCUCUGCUCUGUCCUCACCAGGGCCUCCUGUCUCGAGUCUUCCUCCGCCUCACUUGUGUCAUGGGAUUUAGGCUCCACCCAGAUAUUCCAGAAUUAUUUCAUCCCAAAAUCCUUUAUUUAAUUAUAUCUACAAAGAUCCUUUUCCAAACAAGAUCCCAUUUGCAGGCUCUGGGGGUUAGGAUGUGGCUUAUCUUCUGGGGCCACCACUGAGUCCACUGCUGCUACAGACAGCAUCUCAAGUCUGUCCACUUCUCCACCCUGACCGCCCCCACCACAGUCCGCCUCUCCUGCAACUCCUGGCGCUGGCCUCUCCUGCGUCCAUUUCUGCACAGCCUGAGCGAUUUUCAAAAACGACACCAGACCCAUGCUCCUGCCCACAGCCGCCAGCGCCUUCUGUCUCCAUGCAAAGCUGGACCCUGCUGGCGCCUGCAUCCCCAUGGUGUCACUGCCUUGGGGGCUCACAGGGACCCACACUGGCAUGUUCAUGGUGCGCCCGCUGCCAAGGCCGCCUCAUGCCAGCACUCCUUCGUCUCCUUACACACCACAGCCUGGAAGGGUCCUCCCUCUCUGCAUCCGCCCAUGUCUCCCCUUGUGAAAUUAAAGCACAGAAUUUCUCGUUUUGAGGAAAACCUUUAUCCUAUUUUAAAACAGUCUCAUCAUCCCCGCCCUAGUUCUCUCUUCCACUCACAGUAGCAUUCCACGUUCCCUGUCUCUGGGCAUCCUACAACCCUUAGGGCUGUCUCCUAUCCCGCUCCCCGGUGAAGCAGGC
rnacentral:lncRNA from 1 species